rnacentral:rRNA from 1 species
UACGUAGGGUGCUAGCGUUAAUCGGAAUUACUGGGCGUAAAGCGUGCGCAGGCGGUUGUGCAAGACAGAUGUGAAAUCCCCGGGCUUAACCUGGGAACUGCAUUUGUGACUGCACAGCUGGAGUGCGGCAGAGGGGGAUGGAAUUCCGCGUGUAGCAGUGAAAUGCGUAGAUAUGCGGAGGAACACCGAUGGCGAAGGCAAUCCCCUGGGCCUGCACUGACGCUCAUGCACGAAAGCGUGGGGAGCAAACAGG